AGAGAGAAGUCAAAUCGCACAGGAUUUGAUAAAAUUCUCGUUCUCUCGAUGAUAUCACGAUCACGCUGCAUCGCUGCUCACGAGUGCGAUUCACUUCCGAAUGGAACAAACGAACGGAGUAAAUAAUUUAUUCAGAUAUUCCAAAGACGUUCACACCCAGGGCGCUCGUCGGUGACGUAACUGUAAACAAGAGAGCCGGAGAGAAUUGAUUAAACUCGUCCAUACGAACGAAAAUGGGGGAUGAACGAAUGACGACAAAGACGCGAAGACACCGGUGUAUCUUAUCGCCCUCAACAAAAUAAGAAGAGAGAGAGAAAGAGAGAGAGAGAAAGAGAGAGAGAGAGAAAGAGAGAGAGGUCAACGAUACCGAAGCCAGAGUGGGUGCGAGUGGGCGGUAUAAUCUAAGAAAAUCUACGGUCGACUUCUCUUCUCUCUCUAUCUCUCUCUCUCUCAUUUGUCAAAAGUCGGCUCGUCGUUUAGUCCAAGUCGCCUGCGACCUUAACGUUUUACUGUCACUUAAUCCACGCACGCUUUUGACAGUGACUCAGAUCCGAAUCCAGUCGAAUGACGAAAUCGAUCGUUCACGAUGAAGACGAAAACGAAGAGUGCUCUUGCCAGUACGAGAAAUGCUAACUAUGAGAGCAGGAGACACCCUUCUUCUUGAAAAUUGUUGCGAGUGCUCGCAUAGACGCGGAUUGAAGAGCCAUAUAAAAGUCCUUCCCUCCAAGUUCCCUCCUCUUAAAAGAAGGGAGGAGAAUAGGGCGAAUCGAUCAACGACCGGACGCGGAUGACUGAAAGCGCGAGUUUACGAGUUCACGCAUCGACGGGUAAAAGCGACCUGCUUGCUCGCCUCGACAGAGCGAUCCGAUGGGAAGAAGAGCGAGAAUUGGGUCAACCGUUGGCGACGAACGACAGCGGUUCUCGGUCCAUGUCUUGACAGGUGAACAAAGCGAAAGAGGAAGAGGGAUGGAGAACAUGAAAUAUCCAUCGAAUAAAGAAUAGAGAGGGAGGUACUUGCUCUUCCUCGUCGCCUUUGAUCUACCAACCGUAGAUACGUUUUAAUCGGCAUUGAGAUGAUGCUGGAGAAGAACGGGACGCGAUUCCAUUUGUAAGGUAGAAAGGGAGAAAGAGAGGGGCAAAAAGAGACACGUUCGCCCGGUGGAAUCGAUGCCAAGGAACGAGGCGAAUCGCAACGAGGAAAAAUGCUCUUUCGUAGAAUAACAUUCUUCCGCGAUGAUUGAUUCACACCCACGCGAUGUUUUGCAUUUUAAAUACGUAAAAAUGAUUAAAAAUAUUGAAACGAACGAUAGAUCGGAUCAAGUGAAAGAAAGAGAGAAACGAGAGAGGAAAAGAGAGAGAGAGGGAGAGAGAGAGAAAGAGAGAGAGAAACAGAGAGAGAUAGGAGACUCCGUCGUUGCCGCACGCCAUUUUUAUGUCGACGAUCUGGCCGUCUCGUGAUAAUCGAUAGAAGAUCUAAUUGAUCUUGUCUUUUUUGAAAUGGAACUGUUCGAUCGGUUGCACUUACCCUUACGAAGGGACACCCUGCUACACCGUUCUAUCCUGCAACUCGCAUAAAAUCCCGCCCAAGUACACCAAAAAAACCACCGACGACAAGUCCGUCCGCACACUCGACCGGCGCGCAACCGACUGACCGCGCACGGCGUCGGCCUACGCCGUCGACAGCUAGUUCCGCCCACUGAGCGCGCUGAUUCGCUGAACAAUGAAAAUGUCGUGUUCUACCUUAUCGAGAUAUGUUUGCAAAUAUACACCGCUUCGAAAAGAAACUGAAAGAAAUGCUUUCAUGUUUUUGUUUUCGCGUUAAAAGAAUAAUAGGUGGAAUAAAUACAAAUGAAGAAGUUGUCCUAUUCUUGACAAUAUUUUUCUUUGUCAACAAACAUUUACGUAAUAUGUAAUAUUAUUGUCACAAUUAAAAUGGUAGGUCGUUUAGUUGUAUGUAUACUUUGUUACUGGUAACAGCAACAUACUAAUAUAUAAUUGGUAUAUUUAUUAACCUUAGAUCUUUUUCGUACAUACAUCGUAUAUUUUUGUCGAAGUAGAAGACGUAAUCGUGUCUGUGUUAAUUCGCAAUACUAUACGUUACUUUCCAUCGCUCACGUAAUGUAUACAUAAUUUUUGUUAUAUGAAUUCUAUAAAAGCUAAACGUGUUAAACUUCGACGUUGUUAUUAAAGAAAAGUAACGGUGCUUGGAAUGGUUAAAUCUGUUUUCUCGAGAAGGAGGAUUGAAUUUCUGUAAUAAUUAUUAAAUUACAUUUCGAUGUACGUCUACAAAAAUCGGAAACCGGUAAGAAGCAUUCAGACCGGUAGGAAGCACCGUACUUGUAUGUAUGUACCUGCGUGCUUGCGUGCAGGCGUAGGAAUACAAGAUAUCGUCUAUGACAUCAUCGGCCCUGUUUAUAACACAUUCUGGAUCGGGCACGCCCCAUCUUCCAUAUAUUCCUUGUUAUCUUAACUUUUAUAAUUUUUUCUCUCUAAACAUUUAUGAUCGUUGGAAAUAUAAUAAAUCGAUAUUUAUCAUUAUUUUUAUAGUCAUCGUAAGAAACACUUGUACUUGCUGCUUUAUAAAAUCAAAUUCCUGCCACGCAGUUUUAUUUCCAGUCAUGUGAGUUUUCAAAUAUCUGUCUUGUUAUACUAUUUUUUUAAAAAUAUAUAUAAGAAGUGGUAAAUAUAA